UUCAAGGCUUUUUUUUAAACUUCGCAUUUCAACUUAGAGUUCAGUAGCGUCCCUGUCCUUUGAGGUAACUAAGCACAGAAGAAAAAUGUAGAUAAGUUUCUUGAAAGUUACAGAGAAUCAGAAUUUUACCUCAAAUAACCGGCAAAAAAUGGGAUGGGCUAUUUGGGAAAGUAUCGAGUUUCUCAUCCUCAGGCACAUUUGUGGAGGGUUAGAUAGUCAAAUGUCAGGGACGAUCUAGAGAGUUUCCGGUUCUACCACCGAAGAUGCUCACCACUUUUGCAAGCAAAGAAUUAGAUCCACGUUGGCAGUUUAGGUGGAACAGAGUUCCACCACCUAUAUAUCCACAUCCACCCAGAAUUAUAGAGACACUGUCGCUGUGGAAAGCCUCUGCGUGAAAGAAGUGUCACACCGGAAAAACACGCAGCUGCUCCCCCUGUGAAGAUUUGGGAUCUCGCUUCCAUUCCCAACAAGAUGGCGAAAUACACAACAGCAGCACCAAACCCAGAGCAAACUCACCUGAGGACAGGGGAAUGCAAAGUCUGGAACAGAACAUUCUAUAUGAGAAACGCAUGCCUAACCGAUAGCUUCUGAGAAGAGAACAAAUGCUUUCAUAAAGGUCUAACACCAUGUUAUUUUCAUAAUAGGAAGCUAAAAUAACAAAGGAAGCUAAAAUAAUAAAGGAAACAAAAAGUUGGGUCAAUUCCCUGAGCUUGGUGCUAGUCCUGGUCUUACUUUGCAUUUUCAUAAGUGAACUGAAAAAGAAAUCUUCAUAUUUUCCAGGGAAAUUAAGAUUUUGCAUCUAAAAAUAUAUUUAUCUGUGUGGAUAGGAUCAAAGUAAUUUUUGAAGGCUUUGUGGAUGGGCUGGAAAGCAACAAAAUGCUUCAAAGCUAAGAAGACCUUUGUAGACUUGUAGAAAACUUUAAAUAUACGUAUAGUUUAUAAUAUAUAUUUAUGAUAGUGGGUUCUGUAAUCCAGUGUAAAAUAAGAUCUAGCAAUGUCAUAGAGCUGUCGGUGAAGAUACCAACGAAGAGGCUGCUGCAGAUAAAAAUCCUGGGCCUCAUCAAAAAGAAUAUUUUAAAUAUGACCGGAGAAGGUAUUCUAUCUUUUAAAAAUAUAUAAUGUGCCUGUAACUAGAAUACUAACUAUGGUUCUUGUUACUGUACCUCGGGAAAGCCUCAAUGGGCUGGAAGUGAGUAGAUAUGUGUUUAUUUAUAUAAGUGUAUACCACAUAUAAUUGCUAUUAUUAUCAUAAAGAAAGGCAAAUAAAUUCUACCGUGAAAAGGGAAAAGUGUAAGUAAAACUUGCCAAGGCUGUAAAAAUGAAAACUCAGGGGAGAUAUUACUGGUCAGCCUACAACAUAAUAAAGUACCUCUUAUGAAUAAGUCCUUUUUAAGGAGUACUCACCCUGUUUUAAGCACUAUUCUAAGCACUUAACACAUAGGAACUCACUCUCUUCACAAAAUCUCUUCCAGUUGGUACUAUUUAAUGUCCAAAGGAAGCACAGAGAAGUCUAAUAAUUUGCAAAUGUCACACAGCUGGUGAGCAGCAGAGCCAGGAUUAAAACACGGCAUUCUGGUUCCAGGGCACGUGCUCCUACCCACUGCCCAUGAAACACAAACCUCACUUUUAGUCUUGAGAGAGGCUUUGAAUGAACUGGAAAGAAGUCGAUUUGAAGCAAAUAAAAAUAAAUAUAAAAUGAACUAUAAACUUUGAAAUCUGAAAGUGAAACUCCUGAAUCCUAAGAGACAAAACCCAUUUAAAAUAUGCAAAGAGAACCAGGAGGUCUUGACAGAGUUGCACAGAGGACUGCAGACAGCAGAGAAAGUAGGGUAAAUUGGGGUAGGUCAUCUCUAGCCUGAGUUCUGUCCUGGAAGGUCAGGCACAGCCUCCCUCAGAGCUGCACUUAGGGCCCGAUACACACACACACACACAUACACACACACAGACACGGGCUGCAGAGCAGGACGACCUUGGUCCCAAGCCAGAGGGCGUCAUUCCUUCCUUGGGGUGGACACGUCAGCCCUUCGUGGCCACCUGCGCAGGCGUCUUCUGCGUUGGGUCGCAGCACCUACAGGGCAGCGAACAUCUCUUCCCCGCCUCACCUGGGUACCACCCAGCUCAGUCCCACACACAGACUCUUAAUACAUAGAUUUUAGUUUUCACGAUGUGCUGUCAUUUCCCCCAAUUUCACAGCUUCAGACACCCAUAGGGUCUACUUUGGGGAAUAAGAAUGUGUUUUUGAUCUAGUUUCUGUUCACUGCUAAGGAUUUGGCUGAACGCCUGACUUUAUGACAUUGUUUUGAAUAGGGAAGCUCAGUAAAACGUUCUUUAGGGAAAUACCAAAUCUGAGAUGAGUGACGGCAUUUUUACUGGAGAUCCUGCCGAAGCGUGGACUCGGUGGGGCAGUGGCUUGCGGGGGCUCGUCACACGCACUCCGCCCUCCGAAGCCUCCAGCCCGGGCUCAGCGCCACGUGACUGCAGUUAACCUCAGGCGGCCGCUGCUCCUGUCACCACAGCAUCUGGGGUGGAACACAGUCACUGGACUCUUCCAGACAUUAGUUAACUGGAAAAGGAAUGUCACAAGCCGCCUCCCUCCCUCGUCCCGUAUUCUUUCUCUUCCUGAGAAUAUGACUCCACAAGGGAGAGCACCCGGGGGGUCACUCAGUGGAGAGUGGGGUCAAGUGGAGCCAAGGCUCGGCUUUAUUACAUCCGUUAAACACGAUGUUCCCUCCUAGUCAUCAAGGAACUUUUUCCCAAAGGCCAGAGGAUGAUGCUUGCUGUGAAAAUUGGGUACUUUAAAAUCUUAUUGUUGGUUUUUCUCUUCUCCUGAGUCAACAAUCACUGUUUGGUCUAGACUGGUCUUAGGGAUUUUUACCAAAGCUGUGUCACCAGGAAUCCUUGGCUAAAAAUGCGGGAGGUGGAGGAGAAAACGCAGUUCUGCCAUGGGCUCAGGAGUAGUAAAAUCUAGUCCAAGAAGUUAAAGAGUUAGAAAUCAGAAUUUCAAAAAACUAAUGAUGCACAUACUAAUUACCUUUACUCUCCCUAAGCCAUCAUUUGCAGCUACAAAUUAGCUUUCAAAUAAAUUUGUUCUCUUACACAAACACGUCCAUCAUUUGAUGGCUCUGACAAUGACAGGGCAGUACUGGAUAAGCCGCAGCUACGCCUCGGUGAAUUCCUUCUUCACCGAGCAUUACCUAGUUUCCUGGUGGAAAGUACACUCGUUCUCGUCUCCACCCCAAAGCGCACUGUUUGUGCUCCUGAUGCAUAGCAGUGACGCCAUUUGUCCUUAGGGUUUUAGCUGUCUUCUGCUCUAGAUGGAGAAUGAGUGGGGAUCAGACCUAUUCUCUAUAUGCCACUAUUCCAAACACAAUGAACUGGUCUACCACUCUGUCUUGCACACAUAGUAGGUAUGCUUCCUGCAUUUUAUCUUCUUAACUUCACUUGAGGAAAACCUACAUCCUCCCAGACUUGACCGCAGCAUGCCUCCCACUCUACAUUUUCAGUCUUUCAGAAUGGGCUAUCAGAAAUACAGGAGUAGAAGUUGGAUACAUACACAUGAAGAACUAAUGAGAAAUGCUGUAUGCUGACAACCGAGUAUUUUAAUAUAUUCCAGUGCAGAUGAAUGGCAGUCACUAUUUAAAAUGCCAUGCAUUUCAAACAUAAUUUGAAAAUGGGUUCUCACCUUCAGUCAUUUAACCUCAAAGCAUUUUUAUAAAAAUGAGGCAAAAGCUUUGAGAAAAACAAACAUUGUGCUGUCAAUAACCACCAAAAUAGGCAUAAAAAUUUUUAUAGCAUCCUUACGCUUCUGAAACUCAGUGCUUAAUGAAGUUAUUUUAAAUGAUUAUUCAGACUAAAUGAACUUUCCUAAUGCAAUUUCUGAAUUUAGUUUUUAUUAUAUUUAUAAACUUAACGUGUAGAAGAGAAUUUCUUCACAAACUUCUCCAAAGCAGACAUAAAAAAAUAUAAUCCUGCUGCCCCUAUUCAUACUGGCACUCAAACAGUUGACAUAGGAUAAGAAGAAGAUUUUCUGUCAGUAUUUUGGUAAAUAAUGUUUUAAUUAUUAACUUCAUACCUCCUCCGGAAGGUCCCCUUCAUCAUUCAUCUCACACUUUUUUAUUUGUCAGCUUGGGAAACCACAAUAUCCCCAAUAAAUUCUUCAACGUGUAUUUAUAUGUGUACCAGAAACAAAGCGGCAGAGGCUGAAUUCCAUGGAGGUUCUUUCCAGAGGGCUCUGGCAGGUAAUAAAAGGUAAACACCAGAGUCUGAUGUGUCAUGCCCAAGGCACAGUAUGCCAGCAGCGCGCUAGAAGAGUCGAAUGACAAAUGCUCAUUUAUGCCUGACUCCCUACGAACAAAGGACAUACAAAGCUUAAAACUGUUGAUUGACUUUUUCUCCGACCUACUGAAUUUUGUUAGAUACAAUUGUAUUCUAGAAUGAAAUCUAUUGUGAUGCUCAGACGAUGACACAUUUAUUAGACAACAAUGCUAUCAAAGUCCACAGACAGAAAGACAAAUGGAAAAUUACAGCUGUAAAGUCAGAGCCCUUCACACAUUUACAUGAUUCACAAGCAGAACACAAUAUUCCCAGCACAUUGCCUCCUAGAUGAUAGACAGAAUUAGAGAUGAGCUAACUGAGGGACAGAAACCUGAAGCGUCUUGCAGAAGCCCCACAGCUAGUAAGUGGCAUAACCAGAAUCGGAACACCAAUAACUUGGCCCCAGAGUCCACUCUCUCAACCAGGAAGGCAAGAUGGGAAGGAAUUCAGGCUUUAAAAACAAAUGCAGCACCGAAAAGAAGCUUAAAUAUAUGCAUAAAUAUAUGGGUGAGGCAAUUUCACUAACCCUUGUUCCUUUGCCUUAGUGAGAGCCUAUCGGGUGACACACAAUUAAAGGAAACUCUAUUGAUAUCAUUUCUUAGCCUAAAAUUGCCUGAUCUGAGUAGGAAGUUUAUUUGAUGACUUGCAGCAAAAAUCAGAUUAUCAGUCUGUUUUAGGAGGGCACCAGUGAUUUUUAGUUUUUAGGAGUGAUGUUUGCUAUCAUAUAUUUAUCAUUCCUAAAUACUGAAGACUUCAGAUGGAAGAAAUAGAUGGUUCUCCCAUCCAUAGACAGUUGAAGUUUUGAGAAAAAAGGAAAAAAAUUUAAAUGGCAUUUGUAGAGAAUUUGAAAUGAAGAUAUAUUUCACAUAUUUGUGUCUCUCCUUUUUCAGAAAUUGCUAAUUUAAUUUUUUUUUCAAUUUUGUAAAGAGGAAAAAAAAAUCCUUGAGGGCAAAGGAAUGCUUAAAAGAAACCAUUUAAAGAUAAUUAACGUGCACAUGUGAAUUUAAAGAAUAAACCUGGGUUCUUAACCAAUAACGGGGAUCAACAAGCUUUUUUUAUGUAUAGCCCAGACAGUAAGCAUUUUAAGUUUUGUGGGCCUCAAGGUCUGUAUCUCGAGUAUUUAACUUUGCUGUUAUAGGAUGACAGCAGCCGUAGACAAUAUGUAAACAAAUGACCACAGUCGAGUUUCAAUGAAACUUUAUUUACAAAAACAGGCAGUAGACCAGCCAGUGGCCAGUUUGCCAACCCCUGAUAGAGAGGAUUUGAUCAACAAAUAUACACAUUUAUACUUCACAAUAUCCCUUAAGAGACUUUGUUUUCAUUUUGUUAUAUAAAAAGAAAGUAUGUAAUAAUAUAUCCUAUACAUAUUAUAUGCCAUUUUGAAACUAAAUGUAAAACAUUUAGAGAAAACACAUGAACAAAAAUAAUUUUACUUUUCAAAAAUCGCCUUUCGUCAAGGUCUGUAUUCCUGGUAGAAUUCUUACUUGGGAGAUUGCCUCAUAUUCUGUUUAGAGUCAGCAAAAGCAAGAAUAAAUGCUAUUUGCUUAAUGCAGUUUUCUUUCUUCUGAUAUGCUUUGCGUCUUUUAUGAAGCAUAUACAUUUUUCUCCUCAGAUUGAUUUAUGAUUUGUUUUUUAAAAUAUUGAUUGAAAAGCGUACUAUUUAAGGUCC